GGGCGGGCGCGUGCUAUACUGCAGUCGAACGCGUUGGCCCAAUUGAUUGAUGGUGCUUGCACCUGAUUGAUUUUGGUCGCCAACGAUUGGCGGACGGGUGAGUAACGCGUAGGUAACCUGCCCAGAACCGGGGGACAACGUUUGGAAACAAAUGCUAAUACCGCAUAACAACGUUGUUCGCAUGAACAACGCUAAAAAGAUGGCUUCUCGCUAUCACUUCUGGAUGGACCUGCGGUGCAUUAGCUUGUUGGUGGGGUAACGGCCUACCAAGGCGAUGAUGCAUAGCCAAGUUGAGAGACUGAUCGGCCACAAUGGGACUGAAACACGGCCCAUACUCCUACGGGAGGCAGCAGUAGGGAAUCUUCCACAAUGGGCGCAAGCCUGAUGGAGCAACACCGCGUGAGUGAAGAAGGGUUUCGGCUCGUAAAGCUCUGUUGUUAAAGAAGAACACGUAUGAGAGUAACUGUUCAUACGUUGACGGUAUUUAACCAGAAAGUCACGGCUAACUACGUGCCAGCAGCCGCGGUAAUACGUAGGUGGCAAGCGUUAUCCAGAUUUAUUGGGGCGUAAAGAGAGUGCAGGCGGUUUUCUAAGUCUGAUGUGAAAGCCUUCGCUUAACCGGAGAAGUGCAUCGGAAACUGGAUAACUUGAGUGCAGAAGAGGGU
rnacentral:rRNA from 2 species